GCUGGGAUAGCUCAGUUGGUAGAGCACGAGACUCUCAUUCUUGGGGCCGUGAGUUCGAGCCCCACGUUGGGCA